AUUUAUAUAGUUUAAAUUAAAAACAUUGAUUUGUGAAUUCAAAAUUAUAAUUAAUUAUUAUAAAUU
rnacentral:tRNA from 1 species